rnacentral:lncRNA from 1 species
AUGGAUGGGACAAGUUCAACACGGCAAGGCACGGGGUCGACCCGCGGGGGUCGAAGGCGUAAACGAUGUAAGCUGAUCUGUAGGCUGUUUAAACCGAAACCCUCCGCCGUCUUAUUUUCCCGCCAGUCAUCUCGUUCAUCAAGGCCAAGAACCCAGACGACACCGGGUGACGCGGAGUCCGCUCGCCGUCUGGGUUCUGGGUCAACAGAAAUUGACGACGCCGGAGCCCGUCAACACUACCACCGGCUCUGGACGGAACCGCAGCCCUGCUUGGGCCUGGCAAAGGGGAUUCGUCCUUCUGUUCAGCGCAGGGGGCUGGUUUCCGCUCUCCUUCUGUGCUCACGUCUAAUUCCAGCCCCAGCGUAUAUACCCGGCUGCCGGCCCCGGACUGGUCCAGCAGCCAUCUAUCUAGAUGAGAAGCAAUUUGAUAAAUUCAAACGGGGCACCCUUCCUACGCAAUUUAUUUAGCUUUAGCAAGUUAAUCAGAGUGCACGAGCCCAAUUUGUCACCGUGCUGUUUUCUUUCGCUUGCUGCUCUAAUUGUAUAAACAUGCCCAGAGGUCUGAUGAAACUUCUAACACAUCAAACAACAAAUGGCCCACUUACAGAGUGCGCCGUGGCUAUUUUGAAGCAGGGCUUCUCCCUCCUGAGGCUGGAGGUCCCCCUCCACCCCACUCCUGCCCGGCCGACGCCCUGGCACAAUCAGGUGGCCGAUACCUUGGGAUUCACACGCAGAUCGCAGAGCCUGGGGCAGGGCAGGCUGGGCAGGGGUGAGGAGGAAGGAUGCCACAUCACAGCUGACAUGCCCUCUGUGUUGUCCUCUCUCCCUUGGGGAUUUAUGCAGCAGGGCCAAUGGCCACACUCGGGGGCUCGAGAGCCCCAUCCCUCCGGGGUCCCGGCCUCUUCCGUCGGGUUGUCCUCUGAACCACUUUCAGCCCCUGAUUUAUUAAGAGGAAGGUAGAGAGACUUCUAUCUCAGUCCCUGGACACCAAUCGGAGGCAGGUACCACCUUGGCAGAGAACCCUUGGGGCCGGAUGGCCAGGGAGAGCAAGGGAAACUGAAGCCAACAUGUCCACAUUUAGUUCUGGAAGUGUGACUUCUCAAGAUUUCCUUUUUAUUGAUUUAGAAUUCCCGCCUUUCGGAGAUUUCAACCUUCUGUCUCUCGGGGCCCGGGUUCCCACUUCGCCCUAUAAAUUUCAGUUUAAUAAAGGAUGUGUCUAGCCAGGAGACA